UGUGAUUCAUCAAUAAUCAUUCUUAGAGAGAGAGGCAGUCCUGGAGAGAGGGGAAUCAUAAUUGAGCGGAAGAGAACUCAGAGAAGACAAGAGAUAGGUUUAGAAUGGCAAAGGAAGAAAACAUCCCCACCUUAGCAUUCGCCAAAACCAUUCAAUUCCUUCUGAUCAAGUUUUACAGGUCACUCAGGACCCCUCCUGCACAUAUAUUUUCACUUUCAUGAGUUUAGCUACUAAACGUUCUAAAAAGUUGUUUAGUUUCCAAUUUGCUUUCGAAGUUUGAUUUUAUGUGCAAAUAAUGAUUGAUUAUCGCUUAGGAUUCAUUCCCGCAAACUCGUAACUCUACUAUUUCCAAAUUUCAUAAAUUGAAGUUUGCUAUAAUGAGCAUCAAGAUUCGAGUAAAGUUCGGUGAAGAUGAAGGAGAUUUGAUCAAAAAGAAGAAUAACAUUCUAAAGAUUAAGGGCUUGAUAGAUGAUUUAGACAACAUCAUUAUUGUUAUACAAUGUGAAUUAUGAUCCAUGUCUAUUUUUAGAGCAGGGACAAAAAGUCUAAAAAUCAAUACACGGAUCAAAAACAAACAAAAGAAAAAAAGCGAGGAUCUAUCACCUUUGAAAGUUCCUUAGCUACAACUUGCUUUAUGCACAUACAUCCAAUUAUCGCAGCUAAUACGUAGCCCCACCACAUGUUCAAAUUUUUAUAAGAAAAAACUUAAUUAUAAUUUUUACCUUUGGGUAACUAAAUGGUAAAAACAAUAACUAAACUUUAAGUUACUUAAAAGUAUAUCUAAAGAAGUUCAGACAGACUUAACAUGUAGGCUCUAGACCUUUCUUCUGACAAUUAUCAUGCGAAUUAGUUUGGAUGUCUUUUCUUACAAACUCUCAUAUUGAACAUAAAAUAAAAUCUGAAACGAGCGAGGAAAUAAAAGCUGCCUAUUGUAAGAUCAAACAUGUAUGAAUUUGGACCAAGUAAAAGUAACGUAUGUAAUUUUCAGAAGCAGGAAAAACUUAAUAAUUUUUCUAACUCCGGUCCGUUUCAACGGGUGUCCAUCAACAACUAUAAGCCCUAGCUAGUUGCAACCAUUGAAACACAGCUAAGGGCAAGAGGGAAACUUACACAAAGAACAGAAUCUGAAUCACAAUAAAUGAAGUAAGAAGGAAUCAGAUAUAUACAUAUGUAUUUAGGAAAAAAACAGAAGUGGCAUGAGAAAAAUAAACGAUAGAGAGAUGGGAUACGUAUGCCGCAUAGGGAUCACAAAUUCUCACCAAGUGACAGUUUGAGAGGAACAAGACACAUAUUUAGACAUACAUAUGAGACUGAAUGUACAUCUAUAUAUAUGAAUGUCAGUAAAAUUGGGGUUAUGUCCAACAUUUUGGUACUUUUCAUGACUUGUC
rnacentral:lncRNA from 1 species